CAGCCACUAGUGAACCUGCCGAGGAGGCGGAGCAGCAUCAGUACGACGAUGAUGAGGAGUACUCGCCGAAGUCAAAUAAUAAAGGAGACAUACCAAAGCGGAAACAAAGACGAUAUCGAACUACAUUCUCAAACGUCCAGUUAGAGCAGUUAGAGGCUGCCUUCCACAAAACACACUAUCCCGACGUUUUCUUCAGAGAAGAACUUGCCAUGAGGAUCGAUUUGACAGA